rnacentral:tRNA from 6 species
CCGGGUGUAGCGCAGUUGGUAGCGCGCCUGCUUUGGGAGCAGGAUGUCGGGAGUUCGAGUCUCUCCACUCGGACCA